CACCAUAGACUUCCAUUAUAUGACUGCCAGACAACAACGGUUUGACCUAAAAAUAUCAAAACUGAAAAUACUGUGGUAACAAAGACACCCUUGCCCUGCCCUUGAGAAGGUGGAUGGAGCGGUCUUCAAGGGGCAGUGGAGAGACAUGCUACAGAAGAGGAGUGGAAAUUAAAUCAGCGGGAUACACCGGUUUGGGGCAGAUGCAAUGAGUGCCAAGUGCAAACUAAUUUAAUUGUGUGUGUGCUGCUAUCCCAUGAUGCCAGGCCCAGACCAACCACCCCACGACCUUCACGACCCUACAGCCUGCCACAGGGAGUCAACAGUCUGCUGCAGGGGGCGGCUGCAAACACACUUGGUGAACCCCCUAAACCUGCAUUAUAUGACUGAUGGAC